rnacentral:rRNA from 1 species
GACGAACGCUGGCGGCGUGCCUAAUACAUGCAAGUAGAACGCUGAAGGAGGAGCUUGCUUCUCUGGAUGAGUUGCGAACGGGUGAGUAACGCGUAGGUAACCUGCCUGGUAGCGGGGGAUAACUAUUGGAAACGAUAGCUAAUACCGCAUAAGAGUGGAUGUUGCAUGACAUUUGCUUAAAAGGGGCACUUGCAUCACUACCAGAUGGACCUGCGUUGUAUUAGCUAGUUGGUGGGGUAACGGCUCACCAAGGCGACGAUACAUAGCCGACCUGAGAGGGUGAUCGGCCACACUGGGACUGAGACACGGCCCAGACUCCUACGGGAGGCAGCAGUAGGGAAUCUUCGGCAAUGGACGGAAGUCUGACCGAGCAACGCCGCGUGAGUGAAGAAGGUUUUCGGAUCGUAAAGCUCUGUUGUAAGAGAAGAACGAGUGUGAGAGUGGAAAGUUCACA